CCACGGGCGUCGGGAAGACGCUGCUGGUGAAACGGCUGCAGGAUAUCCUUCCGCGCGGGGACGGGACCGGGGUGCGGGGGGCACCCGGACUGGGGCGGGGACUCACCCUUUAGCUGCUCGGGUCCUUGACCGCUUCGCACAGGUGAGCUCCCGGGAUGGGAAAGGCGACCUGGGGGAGCCGCCCCCGACACGGCCCACGGUGGGCACCAAUCUUACUGACAUCGUGGCACAGAGAAAGAUCACCAUCCGGGAGCUUGGGGGGUGCAUGGGCCCCAUCUGGUCCAGUUACUAUGGAAACUGCCGUUCUCUCCUGUUUGUGAUGGACGCCUCUGACCCCACCCAGCUCUCUGCAUCCUGUGUGCAACUCUUAGGUCUCCUUUCUGCAGAACAACUUGCAGAAGCAUCGGUGCUGAUACUCUUCAAUAAAAUCGACCUACCCUGUUACAUGUCCACGGAGGAGAUGAAGUCAUUAAUCAGGCUUCCAGACAUCAUUGCUUGUGCCAAGCAGAACAUCACCACGGCAGAAAUCAGCGCCCGUGAAGGCACUGGCUUAGCAGGGGUGCUGGCCUGGCUCCAGGCCACCCACAGAGCCAACGAUUGACUGCACGGCAGAGGCGCGGCUGGCCUGAGCUGGGGAGAGGUGGCAGAGGGCAGUAUGGCUUUGCUGCCAAUAGUUUCUUCUCACAGGGGCAGAAUAACCCAAAGUAACCCUACAUGAUGGGGCUCUGCGCUGAGAUGCAAUGAUGCGUAAACUGAGGCAUGUGGAGAUGGAAGUUGACAUCUGGC
rnacentral:sRNA from 1 species